rnacentral:lncRNA from 1 species
AAUGAUCCAAUCAAACACUAUCUUAUAUUUAAAUUCUCAAUCAAGCACCAGCUCUUCAGAAUGUUUUUACUGAUAAUUUUUGUGCUCCACAUUCAAUACUGUCCUUGACUCCCUUCUCUUACAAUCCAAGUCCUUAGAAAUCUAGGACCAUUGAGACUUCACUUAUUUUUAUCCUAUUUUGUACAAUAUACUCAAUAAAAUAUGUAUUCUUACCAUAAGAACAAUGAUAAAAUGUAAAUAUAAAUCUUGGACUAGCAAGAAAUAUCUUACCAAAUCUUUAUUACGAGGACGUAAGGACAUUAAAGUUUACUUACUCUUCAAGUAUAAAAGGAUUAUUCUUCUUGAGCGGGUCGACGUGGCUGUGUUCAAGUAGCAUGACCCAAUUUAGAAACAUUUGACAAUUAAAGAAUAGUCCACAUUCCAAAAGUAACUUUUUAGAUAUAGGUAUUAACAAGAACAAUUUAUGAAACAGAAAUUUAUGUAUUUGAUAUGGUAAGUUCGUAACAUGAGGUUAAACUAAUGCCAUAAACACGUGACUCAACAUGAACCCGUGGACUUAACUAAAGUUCAAACCAGCAAAUUUUAUUUAUUAUAUUUCCGAGUUAUGGCACAAGAUUCUUAAAAAAAUCGUCAAUCCUUACUGUAAUAAUAGUAAACACGUCACCAAAUCACUAUUGUACUGAAAGUUUUAAUGUAGAUGAGAAGCACUUAAAGGUAACUAACACGAUUCGUUCCGAAUCAACCUAAUUGACUUGCCACGUCUCGUGCACCGACGGUAAAUAUCAGCUAAAUGAUGGACCCACCACCAAGACAAUCUUGACUUACUUUGAAUGUGACAUAAUUUUAUAAAAUUUUGACAAAAUUUCUUCUGAAAUAUGGACUAAAACCAAUCCUAAAAAUCAACAAAACCUCAUAUAGACAUUUAAACCAAAGAUUUUGGGAACCACCAGUUCCACUAAUACCACCACAACUAAAACAAAAUACAACUAAAUUCGACUGAGAACUUCUACUACAAAACAUCAUGUCUACAUGCAAGUAUUACAUCAAUUAUAAACCCUUCUACGAAAUGCACAUCAAACAAAAUAUUAGACAAAGUGUUUAGUAAACAUGAGUCCCCAACUAGACAUUACAUACUAUGAAAUGAUCUCUCAGUUGUUUAAUAAUAGGGAAAACAGAACAAAAUAUAUGAGCUUGUAAUUUAAUGAGUUGAAAGUUUGUAAAUAAGUAUACUUUUCCCAGUUAUGCAUAUUUUCUAAAAAUUCUAACUUUAUUAUAUCUUUGAAAAUUUCUAAAUCUAGUAAUACUUUUAAAACUAAGCCUGAUUAUAUUAUAAAAUUCUUUGUUCUUAAUCUUAGAUAAGUAACUGUAAAGUAUAGCGAAUAUAAAUAAUCAAAUACUAAUGAAAAUCUAUAAAAUAUUGUUAUUGCUCAAUAUUGUAAGUUGGAAUUUUUAUUCUAAGAACUAAAGAAACUGAACUCUACAAUCUGAAAUCUGAUAAGCUGUAAAAAUACUGAAAAGUCACACCAAAUAGGUACCCAAUGACUAGUCUUACUAAUGUAUAGAGUAAUCUCUAUGUCUAAGGCAAAGUCAUUCACAUUUGAUAAUCUGGUCAUAUGUACGCAGAGCUGCCCCAAAGGCUAAUCAACCUAGUACACGACUCAAAGCAUAUAUGUGUAUGAGAGUGGGUCUCAAAGACCUCUGAUAAUCUGAUUAUACACUAUGGAAAUACAUUCACAAUAGUGCAAAGCGGGUAAAAUCAUCAUAACUGAUCAUACAAUGUAAAAACACAUUCACACCAGUGUAGAGUGGAUAAAAUAAUCGUAAUUAGUCAUACAUCAUGGAAACAUAUUCGCACCAAUGCAAAUUAGAGUAAAAUCACCUGGGUAUUUUCUGCUGAUUUUUAAAAAUAAUUUUAGCUAUACUGAAACAUGUAAUGCGAAUAAAACAUACUAAUGAAAUAAUUUAACUGAACUGAAUCAAACUUUAAAAACAUCUUAUUAUAGAUUAACUUUAUUCUGAAAAUCAUGAUAUCAAAUCAACUAUAUGAAAUAAUAAAUAUUCUGAUUUAAUAUAAAUUUAAUAAAUAUUAAUUUCUGAAAAAUAAGUUUUAUAUCCACUCUCAAAAUAAGAGCUACAAGCUAGACUGCCCGAUAAACGUUUCUAAUCUCCUCGUCAACACCUGAAAUAUGAUAUUAAUAACCAAUUUAUUCACUAUCAAAUCAAGAAACCUUAAUAUCUAAUAAUAGUACUUAAAUUAAAUUUCUUGAUACUUGAAUAAAUUUCCAAGUUUUCCUUUAUUAAUUAGAGCUAAUUACACUUUAUGGUCUAUUGACUAAUAACUAAUUCAUCAACAUAACAUUCAUUCCAAGCAUUAAUGUAACUACCCACUUCAUUCUAGUGACAACUUGUCACUAUGCUUCGACCAAUUAAAUUUUCCUCUUGUUCCAUAAAUUCAUACUUUCAAAUAAUUAUUUUCCCAUCACCAUCAUUUCCACAAACACUAUUUAAUCCAAAAAUCCCAAAUAAAAUUUCUAGGUUUGCUAAAAAUAAUAUUUCUUACCUUGCUGAAAUUGGAAAUUAAGGAAUCCCCAAGCUUGAGCUCCAAUUCAUACUUAUCUCACCUAAAUUGAAAUUUUUUACUACAAGUUAAAACCCUAGAAAUUUAACAUAAAUCAUACCUUUAUCAUUUGAAACAAAUGGAUAAAUUAAAUUCAAACUUGAAGAGAUUAACCAUUACCUCUCUUCUUCUUCCCUUUUUCUUCCUUUGUUUCUUCUUCUUUUCUUUUUUCUUUU